UGUGUGUGUGUGUGUGAGUGAGAGAGCGAGUGAGUGAGUGAGUGAGUGUGUGUGUGGGGGGGACUCGGCUUGUUGUUGUCGGUGACUUCCCCCUCCCCUUCACCCCUUCCCCUCCCCGCCGCCGCUGCAGUGGCCGCUCCCUGGGCUGUAGGAAAUGAGCGAUAACGAUGACAUCGAGGUGGAGAGCGACGCUGACAAACGGGCUCAUCAUAAUGCACUGGAACGAAAACGUAGGGACCACAUCAAAGACAGCUUUCACAGUUUGCGGGACUCAGUCCCAUCACUCCAAGGAGAGAAGUCCGUGCACUGGAGAAGGCGAGGUCAAGUGCCCAACUGCAGACCAACUACCCCUCCUCAGACAACAGCCUCUACACCAACGCCAAGGGCAGCACCAUCUCUGCCUUCGAUGGGGGCUCGGACUCCAGCUCGGAGUCUGAGCCUGAAGAGCCCCAAAGCAGGAAGAAGCUCCGGAUGGAGGCCAGCUAAGCCGCGCGGGGCAGGCCAGCAAUAAAAACUGUCUGUCUCCAUCGCCUCAUCCUCCUUUCAGUUCAUCGGUAGAACCCUCAGAAGCAUCUAAAAGACUCUGUUUUUCUCUUUCUCCCUUUUUCUUUUUUAAAUUUUUAUUUUUACGUAGAAGCUCUUGGACAACAGCUCUUGUUCUCCUUCCCCAUUUCCACUGUAUAUUUUUUUUAACGUAUUCCCUUCAGGGAUUCCCUGUCCCCACCAGGAAUUUUUAAACCAAAACACCCCAACUUGGCAGCUUUUUCUGUGGAGGACAGACGGCCAGCCAGACCUCUGAGCACAUAGUGUCCUGCCCACCCUACCAGCUCCUCCAGCCCUGCCGGGCACAUGCCCGGAGGACACCUGCCCUGCCUAGGCGGCCUCCUGGUCUGCCCUCACCUCUGAUAGACUUUGUGAAUCUGAACUGCUCUACUUUGAGAAGAUGACCGGUUUGGAGUAAUCAGAAUGAACCCUCCUCCUUUUUAAGGGUUUUUUUUUUUUUCCUUUUUCUAAAAAGCUAUGUAUUGCUCCUAUUGAAAGACCAGAUUCUUAAAGAAGUUUGUGGUAUAAAAAGAAAGUGGGGACAGAUUCGCAGCACAGAGUCCCUGGCAUGUUUCACUCCUGCUUCUCUCAGCCAGCUGUUUAAGCCUGCGGUGCCAGCCUCACGGAGGGCCGUGUGACACUCUUGUGGUAUGUAUGGGAGAUGGCAGCAGUGAAGCAGCAGCCACCAGGGAGUGGCCAUUUAAGGGUUGGGACAGGGAGGGUGUUUUGGGUGGCAUAGAGGUUUUGUAUUGAGGGCCAGUGAUGAUGUUUUGAUAUUUAUUUCCUGCUACUUAAAUUUGAAUUUGAGUGAAUUGUACCUAUUUCUGAUGAUGUCGGUCUUGCAAAGCGACAGAUUCAUAAAGUAAUGAUGAAAUCUUUCUUUCUUCCUGUGUGUAUUUCUAAGAAAUAGAGCCAACUGAUUUUGUAUGUAAAUACCAAGAGCAAUUUACCUGGUACUAAACCCGCACCCCAGUGCGGACCCUUCCCAGCCCUCACCCCACUUCCUUUCCUACUGUCCUGGAACCUGUCUCCAUUGCGUGAUCCAGCCCUGGUUCUGGCUGUGGUCAACAGAUCCCAGUGAAGGGUUUUGUGUGUUUAGGCCUCAUUUCUUUGUCUUUUUCCUACUCCGUUCCUGGCAUUUGCUGAUUUCUAGUGUAUACUCUGUAGUCUCUAUUCGUGUUUGAUUCCAUUCCAUGGAAAUAAAAAGUAUGUUGUACAUAC